ACUCCUACGGGAGGCAGCAGUGGGGAAUUUUGGACAAUGGGCGAAAGCCUGAUCCAGCAAUGCCGCGUGAGUGAAGAAGGCCUUCGGGUUGUAAAGCUCUUUUGUCAGGGAAGAAACGGUGAAAGCUAAUAUCUUUUGCUAAUGACGGUACCUGAAGAAUAAGCACCGGCUAACUACGUGCCAGCAGCCGCGGUAAUACGUAGGGUGCAAGCGUUAAUCGGAAUUACUGGGCGUAAAGCGUGCGCAGGCGGUUUUGUAAGUCUGAUGUGAAAUCCCCGGGCUCAACCUGGGAAUUGCAUUGGAGACUGCAAGGCUAGAAUCUGGCAGAGGGGGGUAGAAUUCCACGUGUAGCAGUGAAAUGCGUAGAUAUGUGGAGGAACACCGAUGGCGAAGGCAGCCCCCUGGGUCAAGAUUGACGCUCAUGCACGAAAGCGUGGGGAGCAAACAGGAUUAGAAACCCGUGUAGUCCCAU
rnacentral:rRNA from 1 species